AAGUCGUAACAAGGUUUCCGUAGGUGAACCUGCGGAAGGAUCAUUACAGAGUUCAUGCCCGAAAGGGUAGACCUCCCACCCUUGUGUAUUAUUACUUUGUUGCUUUGGCGAGCUGCUCUUCGGGGCCUUGUAUGCUCGCCAGAGAAUAUCAAAACUCUUUUUAUUAAUGUCGUCUGAGUACUAUAUAAUAGUUAAAACUUUCAACAACGGAUCUCUUGGUUCUGGCAUCGAUGAAGAACGCAGCGAAAUGCGAUAAGUAAUGUGAAUUGCAGAAUUCAGUGAAUCAUCGAAUCUUUGAACGCACAUUGCGCCCCUUGGUAUUCCGGGGGGCAUGCCUGUUCGAGCGUCAUUUCAACCCUCAAGCUCAGCUUGGUAUUGAGUCCAUGUCAGUAAUGGCAGGCUCUAAAAUCAGUGGCGGCGCCGCUGGGUCCUGAACGUAGUAAUAUCUCUCGUUACAGGUUCUCGGUGUGCUUCUGCCAAAACCCAAAUUUUCUAUGGUUGACCUCGGAUCAGGUAGGGAUACCCGCUGAACUUAA
rnacentral:rRNA from 1 species